GCUGCAUAACGAUGGCAAACGGCGAUGUUGUCUUCAAGUGCCGGCGUUGAUGUCUGCAAUCAAUCAGUAUAAAAUAAAUUUGGUCGUGUGUCGCAAAAUUUUAAAUUGAAAGUAAAAAGACGCACAAAAAAGCAGCAAAUGGAAUAGUGUUUUGUGGUUUGUAAUUUCAUCGUUAUUGUUUGGUGUUUCGACAAUAUUUUCGGAAUUAUUUCCUGCACCAAAAAGAAGCAAGAACAUUUGUGCAUUGUACGCGCAGAACCAUUCAUUUGAACUUUAGCGGUCUACCACUUCCAACUGCUACAACAUGUAACGACACAGCCAAUGUGCCAAUCGGUCAGGUGCGGUUGGACGUUGUGAUUGGGUUUACCCGAUUGCUUAUUGGUUCCAGUGUGCCUAUUCGUGGAAACAUUUUAAGUUUUAAUUCGAAAAUAUUAAUUGGAAGUGCUUUUGUGGCGGCAGCAAAGGGGCCAUACUUGCGCAUGGCACUUUAAAAUCUAUCUGGAGCAGAAAAGCGGCGGUGCAGAGUAGUUGUGAUGCUUAGUCGAGACUGUGCAGCGUUUGAAAUCGAGAGUGAAUGCAUGUAAAACUUCUGGAAGAAGAUGAAAUUGAACAAAUCAAACUAACAAUAUGGCAACUCUUCAUCAACGCCAAUUGCACACUACGACAUGUCAUUAUACUGUUGUGUGACUCAAUGCCCCUCAAACUGUCAACAGCUGACCGACAAUAUUCACAAUAUGCCUGUAGUCAUAGCGGCAUGAUCUCGCUACUUCAACUUUUUGAAUAAAGUGAGAAAAACAAAUCAAUGGGGCAAUAAAGGUGUAAAAAGUGUACACAUAACAAUCAAGAGCUGAUAAUUUUAAUAUUGGAGGUGUUAAUUUGCCUUUAAAAGUCAAUAAAACUCCAUGCAUCGUUACAAAGCAAGAAGUACUUCGCAUCGAUAUCCAAUUAUAUUUCAGUGCUUAAUUAUCUGCGAAGAGGAGCCACAACUGCUGUGAGAAAAUUGCAAAUUUUCCUUAAUUUCUGGAAUGAAUUUGAGUGGAUUGAAGGGGUGAAAACAAAAAUAAGGGAAAUAAAUCCA